UGAAUCCAUAGGUUAAUGAGGCGAACCGGGGGAACUGAAACAUCUAAGUACCCCGAGGAAAAGAAAUCAACCGAGAUUCCCCCAGUAGCGGCGAGCGAACGGGGAGGAGCCCAGAGCCUGAAUCAGCAUGUGUGUUAGUGGAAGCGUCUGGAAAGGCGCGCGAUACAGGGUGACAGCCCCGUACACAAAAGCGCAUGUGCUGUGAGCUCGAUGAGUAGGGCGGGACACGUGGUAUCCUGUCUGAAUAUGGGGGGACCAUCCUCCAAGGCUAAAUACUCCUGACUGACCGAUAGUGAACCAGUACCGUGAGGGAAAGGCGAAAAGAACCCCGGCGAGGGGAGUGAAAAAGAACCUGAAACCGUGUACGUACAAGCAGUGGGAGCCCCACCACCAAAGCAUUUGCUGUACCGCGUUGACGGAGCGAAGCGACGUCAAACCGAUAAAACAGCAGUGUAAAGUGAGCCGCAGGGCGCUUUGCGCGACAGCGCAAAGGCAGGCGGUUUCGCGUAGCGAAAGCGAAUGCUUUGGGGUGG
rnacentral:rRNA from 1 species